ACGUGACUGGACAUAGUGACGGUCUAGCAAAGCAUUCUUCAAUGCUAAGUCGGUUGGAGACGGCGCGAAAAUACGUCUCCCAGAGUUUUGUCCGAGACCGUUAAACAUUUAGAAGGUGAUAAUAAACGACGGUACGUGGAAAAAUGAGAGACACUCGGCAUAGAGGACCCAUAUUUAAUGCCGAAGUUGAUGUUUUCGCCGAUAAGAAAGUGGACAGUUGACGCGCUUCCGCUUGUCUUGGACAACUGGAUCUACACACGUAUCUGGCUUACCCGAAGCCGGCGGCGAGGCGGCAAACGAGGAAGACGCCGUAUCCCUGGACGAAAGAUGACAGGAAGGCGAAGAAGCCGUUGGUGGACAUGCAGACGAGGAGGCACUGUCUGCGGCCCACUUUGUCGGACAUUCCUCCCCAAAAGAACGCUCCCAGCAUCAUCCCCAAAAAAUCAAUGGAGUGCAUGGUGAGGUGUGCUGUCAGGCGUGAUGAAGCUCAGAAGACACCAGAGCUCACAGAAGACCACCUGACCGCAGCAGAAGAGGCCCCCCCCCCCACCCCCGACUGCGCACGCGGCAACAGGAGCAAUCACAAUCAAACGCACUCGCAAAACAAGACAGCGGUAGUGCAGCUUCUACCCUUCCAAAGACAUUCACGGCACGGCCCCUCACGGCUGGUUUUGCUCCAAUGGCAUCAACAAGAAGCCGGUCCAAUCUCGAAGUGGGCAGCGCGACAAGUAAUCCCAUCAAAAUGGAGAAGUCGUGGCCUCUUGUGGAAGGAGGCACUAGCGGAAUGGGACGUCUUCCAUUAACAGAUUUCAUCAAACUGUGAUGCGCUGGUGCACGUGUUUGUAUGUUUGAGCCGACGACGCACAAACUAAAGUCAAACGCAACCACCUAAAAAAACUGACGUCUCAUACAAUGUGCGCUGUUUAACUAACUGGUGAAAACACGCCUAAAUUAUGAUGUCCCAACAAAGACAGAAACAUUCAGUAAAGCUUACUGCAAAUUAACCUCACGGUAAAUGCUUAUUUACCAUGGUUUUACCAAGUGUUUUGUUGAUAACAUAACAACAAAUAUACAAAAUCUAUAUUCAUAUUAAUAUUGCUGCCUCAUGUCUUCUUACUACUGGAUUCAUGAAAAUGUGAAAAACUAUAAAAGGUAAACAGAUCUGCGCUUAUGCUGAAAACUAUGCUGAAGGUGGCUAUGAUAACCACCAUUGCUGAACGAUCUUUGUCAUUGGUGUGCCCAAUAGUUACUGCGUAUUGAAAAAAUGUAUGUAAUGUAAUCUUUUCUCAUUUUUUUCCUUUGCCCAUCACACCCACCCAAAACAUUGCAUAAUUGAAUGAUUAACUUUCCACUUGUGUGAAAGAUGAGAAGCACAUAAACAGGAGGCGAGCAGCCAACCGUUCUUCAUGGAUGCAAAUCAACACUGAUAAAUUAUUCUUAUUUUUUUUUGAUCCUGAAAAAUGCUGAUACAGUGUGAAUGAUUUCCUUUCGACAGUGAAAAUUUGUAAGGUA